ACUCAAAGGAAUAGACGGGGGCCCGCACAAGCAGUGGAUUAUGUGGUUUAAUUCGAAGCAACGCGAAGAACCUUACCAGGGCUUGACAUCCUACUAACGAAGUAGAGAUACAUCAGGUACCCUUCGGGGGAAGUAGAGACAGGUGGUGCAUGGUUGUCGUCAGCUCGUGUCGUGAGAUGUUGGGUUAAGUCCCGCAACGAGCGCAACCCUUAUUGCUAGUUGCUACGCGAGAGCACUCUAGCGAGACUGCCGUUGACAAAACGGAGGAAGGCGGGGACGAGGUCAAAUCAUCAUGCCCCUUAUGUCCUGGGCUACACACGUAAUACAAUGGCGCAAAAACAGAGGGAAGCGAUACCGCGAGGUGGAGCAAAUCCCCAAAAGGCGUCUCAGUUCGGAUCGCAGGCUGCAACCCGCCUGCGUGAAGUCGGAAUUGCUAGUAAUCGCGGAUCAGCAUGCCGCGGUGAAUACGUUCCCGGGCCUUGUACACACCGCCCGU
rnacentral:rRNA from 1 species